rnacentral:rRNA from 1 species
AAACGACUCUCGACAACGGAUAUCUCGGCUCUCGCAUCGAUGAAGAACGUAGCGAAAUGCGAUACUUGGUGUGAAUUGCAGAAUCCCGUGAACCAUCGAGUCUUUGAACGCAAGUUGCGCCUGAGGCCACUAGGCUAAGGGCACGUCUGCCUGGGUGUCACGU